AAAUGAGGCCAUUUACCCAGAGAGGGUGCCAGGCCCGUAUAACAUUAAUGAUUAUUAGAAUAUAUAUCCAUAGAGUCGUGUUGCUUGAUAGUGCAGCACUAAGUUGGUGGUAAACUCCAUCUAAAACUAAAUAUAACCAUGAGACCGAUAGCAAACAAGUACCGUGAGGGAAAGUUGAAAAGAACUCUGAAUAGAGAGUUAAAUAGUACGUGAAACUGCUUAGAGAUUAAACCCGAUGAAUCUGAAUAUUCUAUAUAGAGAAUUCAACAUUAUAUGACAUAUAUAUAAUUUAUUAUUAUGUGUAAUGGUGUGCAUUUUCUCUAUAUUAAAUGAACAUUGUAAUUUAUUAAUAUUAAAAUGAAAAUAUUUAUCAUAAGAUCAUAUGGAAUUAUAUGUUUAAUUUAAUUAAUUUGAUUUUUAUUAAUCAUAUUAAAAUAAAUUAAAUUCUAAUGAUUGGAUAAAGUAUUAAUAAAUUUAUAUAAUAUAAUGCAAUUAUUUUUAUAUUUUUAAUAUAAAAAUAUAUAAAUUUUAUUAUUUAUAUGCAUUUAUAUGAUUUACAAUGCGAAAGAUUCAGAAUACCUUCGGGACCCGUCUUGAAACACGGACCAAGGAGUCUAACAUAUGUGCAAGUUUUUGGGUUAUUUUAUUAAAAUACCUAAAAGCAUAAUUAACAUAACUUUUUAUAUAUAUAAUGGGAUUAAUAUUAUUUUAAAAAUAUAAAAUGAAUAAUAUACAAUCCCGGGGUGUUCUAUAUAGUUAUAUAUUUUAAAUUUUAUUUAUUAUAUAUAACUAGAGCGUACCUUGAGCAAAUAUGCUGUGACCCG
rnacentral:rRNA from 1 species